UACGUAGGUGGCAAGCGUUGUCCGGAAUUAUUGGGCGUAAAGCGCGCGCAGGUGGUGCGGUAAGUCUGCCGUGAAAUCUCCCGGCUCAACUGGGAGGGGGCGGUGGAGACUGCCGGACUAGAGGGACUCAGAGGCCGGUGGAAUUCCCGGUGUAGUGGUGAAAUGCGUAGAGAUCGGGAGGAACACCAGUGGCGAAGGCGGCCGGCUGGGGGUGCCCUGACGCUGAGGCGCGAAAGCGUGGGGAGCGAACCGG
rnacentral:rRNA from 1 species